AUUGAACGCUGGCGGCAGGCUUAACACAUGCAAGUCGAGCGGGGGAAGGUAGCUUGCUACCGGACCUAGCGGCGGACGGGUGAGUAAUGCUUAGGAAUCUGCCUAUUAGUGGGGGACAACAUCUCGAAAGGGAUGCUAAUACCGCAUACGUCCUACGGGAGAAAGCGGGGGAUCUUCGGACCUUGCGCUAAUAGAUGAGCCUAAGUCGGAUUAGCUAGUUGGUGGGGUAAAGGCCUACCAAGGCGACGAUCUGCAGCGGGUCUGAGAGGAUGAUCCGCCACACUGGGACUGAGACACGGCCCAGACUCCUACGGGAGGCAGCAGUGGGGAAUAUUGGACAAUGGGGGGAACCCUGAUCCAGCCAUGCCGCGUGUGUGAAGAAGGCCUUAUGGUUGUAAAGCACUUUAAGCGAGGAGGAGGCUACUCUAGUUAAUACCUAGGGAUAGUGGACGUUACUCGCAGAAUAAGCACCGGCUAACUCUGUGCCAGCCGCCGCGGUAA
rnacentral:rRNA from 1 species